AUAGCUAGCUGGAAAUGUAGCGUAUAGGUUUGACCAAUUUUGGUCGUACACUUUACAAAACCCAAAGUCUACCUUGAACGGGGCCACGGACCAUAGAAGGUGUUAGUCCUGUACGGGUUGUGUUUGUGUACGAUCGGUUAGACCUUAGAGUCGGGUUGCCUGAGAUCGCAGCCCAAAUAUGGUGGUAGACUUCAUCUAAGGCUAAAUAUGGCCACGAGACCGAUAGCAAACAAGUACCGUGAGGGAAAGUUGCAAAGAACUUUGAAGAGAGAGUUCAAGAGGGCGUGAAACCGCUGAGAAUGAAGCGGAUAGAGUCGACGAAACUUAAUCAGUAUUCAACCGUCACGCCAAACGGUUCGACGCGUACGUGACGUUGUGUUGACUGAAAUACGUUCGCAUAGCGUUCAUCGUUGCGUGUUGUUCAAAACUAAACUGUAUGGUGCGAGAAUGGCGGCGUACUUGCUGGUUGUAUGCAUCGAGAGCUUCGUAUCGCGUACGAAGAAACUCCUAUUGAUAGAGGCUCGUUCGAAAGACUUCACGUCUUCUCCUACGAUAACCUAUUGUGGGUUGACGCGUAUCGUAUAUGAAGUUUGCGUCUACGCGCGCAACUAACAACCUCGCGUUGUUCUUGCGUUUCUCGUCGCGAAUUCGCGCCUCGAACGAGRCGUGAUCGCGCACGUGAAGGCGCUCAGUCAAGUUGCGUGUCUCGAUGUGAACGUCGGUCACCUAUCCGACCCGUCUUGAAACACGGACCAAGGAGUCUAGCGUAUACGCGAGUCAUUGGGUGUGCGAAUACCUAAAGGCGUAAUGAAAGUGAGUGCUGUUAUUAGUGCAGCUAUUAUGUGAUUUGCGAUGUGCUUGUCGUGUCGCAAAGCAGCAUAAUCCCGUCUUAAUUACUUGUAAUGAGGCGGAGAAUGAGCGUAUGCGCUGGGACCCGAAAGAUGGUGAACUAUGCCUGAGCAGGAUGAAGC
rnacentral:rRNA from 1 species